rnacentral:rRNA from 1 species
GACGAACGCUGGCGGCGUGCCUAACACAUGCAAGUCGAACGGGAUCCACGCCAUGAAGUUUUCGGAUGGAUUGGUGUGGUGAGAGUGGCGAACGGGCGAGUAACGCGUGAGCAACCUACCUCGUACUGGGGGAUAACGUCGGGAAACCGGCGCUAAUACCGCAUAAGACUACGAUGCCGCAUGGCAAUGUAGUCAAAGCUCCGGCGGUACGAGACGGGCUCGCGUCCGAUUAGCUAGUUGGUAGGGUAAUGGCCUACCAAGGCGACGAUCGGUAGCCGGACUGAGAGGUCGGCCGGCCGCAUUGGGACUGAGACACGGCCCAGACUCCUACGGGAGGCAGCAGUGGGGAAUAUUGCGCAAUGGGGGAAACCCUGACGCAGCGACGCCGCGUGAAGAAGAAGGCCUUCGGGUUGUAAACUUCUUGAUCGGGGACGAAGGAAGACG